UUGAAUUAUUCAAGGUCGAUAAAUGAACUCAAUUGAGUAGUCAAGGAAUCGAGAAAAUAAAUUAUUGGAAUAAUUCCCGAAUCAAGAUGAGAACUUAUUAAGUUCCAGGAAAAAGGAUUUCGAAUAGAUCGAAGAUUGCAAUAGCUCAAGAAUCAACAAUUCUCGGAAAUCAAAUUAGUUCACAAGAUAGGCGACAAUAAAUAUAUAUUGAAUUUAAACGACGAGUAAUAACAAUAAUAAACCGAACGAUACGAUUGCUCGGCAUAUAUCCUGUUUCCCAUAAAGAAUAGGCAAGGGAUAGGGAUCCUCACCUGAAGUCCAGUGCAAGGUGCUAUAAAUAAAUAUCCUUACGCUCAAGCCAUGCUCAAGCCUUGAGUGAGAGCUUUAGUACGGUCGAUACCUAUAAAAAUAUUCAUCACUUAACAAGAUUCUAACAUAACCGUAUUAUUCCACUAUAUCACUUAGUCAAUUUCUUGAAACAUUUAUUAAGAAUUUCUUGUCGGGCUAAUUCUAACAAUCACUACGAUCACCAUACUUAUCCGAAUAGCCUAAACUAUAUAUCAAAUUAAAGAUAACAACUUCAUCUACAAGUUCACUUUAGAAACUAACCCCAAAUUAUCGACCUAACACAGCAGUAACAGCCCCGGAAGAUAAUUGCAUGAAACUGCUAGGUUUUGUUUGAACAAAUGCAUUUGCUGGCACUGUUUAUUUGAAAAAUCAUAAAAAUUUGUAGAGUUAUCCAAAUUGUCCAAAUAAUACACCAAAUUGAACCUUACAAUGUAAACUACAAGUUCUUAGAAGACACACAGCCCAAAUUAUUAGCUCAACAUAGCAAAAACGGCCUCGUAAGAAGAAUAUUCAAAACUGCCCUGUUUUUACAGAUUUAAAGUCACUUAAUUCGGACCACUAAUCAGCUUCAAAACAUACUCUAACUCGAUACAAUUUUACACUUACCAAUAGUUUUCGAGGUCCUCUACGAGUUUCGUCAAGGAAUGAUUC
rnacentral:lncRNA from 1 species